GGCCUGCACCCACCUCCUGGGAACAGCUUGGGGUCGGGUGUGUGAGUCCCAUCUCCAAGUCUGGCUCUAGGCUGGCAUAGACAUAGGCCUCCAGUUGGAUGUGAUUAUCAGAGAGGAUCCUGGGAGAGUAUCCAUCCCUGGCCUAGAUCUCCUUCAGGAAGAUUCAGGCCCUCUACAGACAGCUUGCCCCUGCCCCUCCCUCCCACUCCCGCCUGCUUCCUGGGGGAAUGCUAGUACCGCAGUUUCCCGAUAUAGCUGUCCCCUCCUCGAGACAAGUCUGUUGGGUCCACAGAGAUGAGGUAAUUGGAAGUUUUACUCUUCUUUCUCUUCCUUCCCGCCAGGAGGAACACCUUGGGGAGUGGAAUGAGGUCAUAUUCCAGACUCAGCCUCUGGUCUGCACACAGUCAUGAGAGCCACUCACACAGACUCUCUCCCUUGCGUCAGCUCCCAAACGCACAUAUGUGCACACACACAAAUGCACUGGAAAACACAAAGAUGUGCACAGACCAGACACGAAGGCAGUUUCUUUGAGGAACUGAGAGCGGCGCCACCCUGGCCCCCUGCUGUAGCUGCCGCCUUGGUUCUCUUGGCCGAAGCUGGUGCUGUUGGGCGCGUGGCUCCCAGCUGCACACUGGCGAGUGAGUCAGCCUCUUGAACUGCUCAGGAAACAUCCCCAGAUGGAGAGAGAGAAACAGGCAGUGGGUGAGACCAGAGCUCCCGCCUGAACACAGUCCCCAGCACAGCAUUUUUGACGGCACCCCGAGUCCCACCAGGGCCCCUGUACCACUGCUACAGCCCACAGGAUCAGGCCCACUCAUCUCUACUAGGCAGAGAUUCCAGGGCAGGCCCAGCUGGAAGGAGGCGGCACCCCCAGCCCAGUGUAAUCAAGUCAACAGCCAGACCGAAACCUGUGAUCAGCCAACAAAGUGCGCACUCAAAGUUCUGGGCCACCAAACCAUACUGAGCCUGAACAGGGGCAGGGAGAAUGUCUGAGAGGAUAUGGCCAUUGAAGACGGGGAAGAAAGAACAAAGGCUGCAUCUUCUGGAAGAGACCACAACCAGGGCAAGCACUCCAGGGAGCCUACGAGGGGGCUCUGCGGGGAUGAGCCCAUGGGAGGCUGGGGUGUAGGAGUGCUCAGAACAACAACUCUGGGACACAAGAAGCUACAGGCACCAACAGUGAGGUCUCAGAAGGGUCCCAGCUGGUGGCCUCCAAAUUCUCCAUACUGCAGAACCCCAAUCCGCUCAAAAUCCUUGAAUGGUUUCUGAUUGCUCUUAAGCUGAAGACCAACAUUCUCUCCCUUCCCCUAGGUCUAAACACAUACUCCCCACCUCUGGGACACCAAGAGUUGCAGCCACACCAGGCUGGUCUGUUGACUCACAUGCACCGCACUCCCUCUUGCCACAGGGCCCUUGCUCCUGCUGCCUGCACUGCCCUCCCCCUCGUCCCCCUCAGUGAUCAACUCACUCAUCCUGCAGAUUUCAGCUUGGAUGUCACCUCCCGAGGGACACUGUGCCUGCCUCCCUCGUCAGAGCAGGUGUUGUCAUCUACUCACAGAAUUUGGCUUCCUUCCACAAAGCACCCCCGUGACCAUCUGUUUAACAUUGUCUCUCCACCUAGACUGUAAGGUCCGUGAAAGCAGGGACCACACCCAUUUGUGCUCACUUGGGACCUACAGCCUCUAAUCCAGAGCCUGAC
rnacentral:lncRNA from 1 species